UACGGAGGAUGCGAGCGUUAUCCGGAUUUAUUGGGUUUAAAGGGAGCGUAGGUGGAUUGUUAAGUCAGUUGUGAAAGUUUGCGGCUCAACCGUAAAAUUGCAGUUGAAACUGGCAGUCUUGAGUACAGUAGAGGUGGGCGGAAUUCGUGGUGUAGCGGUGAAAUGCUUAGAUAUUAGGAGGAACACCAGUGGCGAAGGCGGCCUGCUGGACGAUGACUGACGUUGAGGCUCGAAAGCGUGGGGAGCAAACAGG
rnacentral:rRNA from 1 species